AUUGAACGCUGGCGGAAUGCUUUACACAUGCAAGUCGAACGGCAGCACGGACUUCGGUCUGGUGGCGAGUGGCGAACGGGUGAGUAAUACAUCGGAACGUGCCCAGUCGUGGGGGAUAACGUAGCGAAAGCUACGCUAAUACCGCAUACGAUCUAAGGAUGAAAGCGGGGGGUCGCAAGACCUCGCGCGAUUGGAGCGGCCGAUGGCAGAUUAGGUAGUUGGUAGGGUAAAGGCCUACCAAGCCGACGAUCUGUAGCUGGUCUGAGAGGACGACCAGCCACACUGGGACGGAGACACGGCCCAGACGCCUACGGGAGGCAGCAGUAGGGAAUUUUGGACAAUGGACGCAAGUCUGAUCCAGCCAUUCCGCGUGCAGGAUGAAGGCCCUCGGGUUGUAAACUGCUUUUGUACAGAACGAAAAGGCUCUGGUUAAUACCUGGAGCUCAUGACGGUACUGUAAGAAUAAGCACCGGCUAACUACGUGCCAGCAGCCGCCGUAA
rnacentral:rRNA from 1 species